UUUAGACUGAGUCGAGUGUUACGUUUUGUCAAUAAGUGUAUUAUUUUCAACGUGCAUUGGAAAAGAUUACCUGAUGCACUGUCUUGUGGGAUGUCAUCCUGAGUGGUUGUCCUGCAGUUACUUAAAUAGAAGGCAGAUUAUUAUGGAGUAAUACUAAAGACACGGCAUCAGAAUACGACAUGCUGAGGAUCAGUGAGACCUGCAUCACUGCUCAUGUGAAGAGAACCAUCACCAGCUUGAUGGAUCAUAUUGGUUACAGUAAGAACCGACGUUUAUCGGGAAUGUAGUCCUGUUUUUGUCCGGAAUCAACCAGAAGAAAAAGACAGAUCUGUUAUGUCAAAACGGCAUCGUAGUUAAAUCCCUUGUACCGCUGUAACGAGAAUAUUCUGCAGCAUAAGGACAAGCAGAUUGAAACGAGCAGACAACACUCAAUUCCUGAUCUAAAGGUCACAAUGGGCGCUUUCUUACAGCGUGUAGUCAUGGACUGUCC